UCACCUUCCUUCACCAUCUCCAUUUCUUUCACUAAAAGCUCUUAUUCAAAGAUUUAGGAUUCAUCCAUAGAGGUGCUAGAUUGAAGGUGUUCAAGGAAGUUUGAUUCAAGAUUUGUCACCAACAUUCCACCAUCAUCUCAUUCUAAGAUUACGACCCUAGCCUUGUGCUAGUAUUUUAACAUUUUUUCAUCAAUAAACCAUGGAAAUUAAGUAUGGAUCUGGCGGGCGUUGGAGUUCCAAGUCAUGUUAAGUAUAAAGAUGUCAUCCAUGGUUCUUGGGUUUGGCCAGCAUGUCUUAAUCCUAGACGAGACACGUCUUCCAAACUUUGAUUUCAACUAUUAUCUUUUGACGAGUCCUUAGCAAACUUUUACACAAUUCAUCUGGCUUGUAAAACUUAAAUUUUGAAGUCUACGUUUUAGACAAUGUUGUUAU
rnacentral:lncRNA from 1 species